rnacentral:lncRNA from 1 species
AACUAGGUUUGAAAGCAAGCUAGCAUGAGGAGUUUAGAGUGAGCUAAAGGAUGAGGUGAGGCCCUUGAACCCAGGCUUGGGGAUAAGGUGAAAAGGCAAGACGGCUACAAGGGGAGGUGGCUUGGACUGUGCUGGGAGCAGCGUUGGAGCACUGCUGCCAGAUUCGGGGUCUACCAUGAAGGUUAACUAGGCUGAGACAAUAUGAAAUUAGAGCUGAAGAUUCUUGGAUGCAAUCUGGUAGUAUUCCCUGGAGAACAAGACAGCAAUGUACCUCUGAGUAUAUGCAGAAGUUCUAAGUGCCAUGAAGUCAUCUCAUCCCUGGCUCCCUACGAAAACCCUUGGAUUUUCAUACAGUGUUGCUGAUACCCUAAGAUUCCUUGGAGGUGUGUCAGAGUCCAACUGUGUUAGAGAAGAAAACUAUUCUGACACAUUAACAUGGUAAGGAAGACUUUAUUCAGGACUAUUGUGAUAGGUGUCAAGACUACUGCAGUAGAGGAGAGAGAUGGGACUCCAUCUUAAAUAUAGCAAGGACAAAGAGGGAUUUCUAGCCAAUGAGCAGAGUGAGGGGGUCAUCG